UCAGCUUCCAAGUUGCUAAGACUACCACCAUGUCUGGCUCCUUCUUUAUUCUUGAUGUUUCAGGUUACCUUAUGAUGUCAUUUCCGUCUGUCUGAAGAAGCUCCAUUCGUAAUUCUUUAGAGCAGACAUAGAAAGAAGGCAGCUGUCUACAAGCCAGAAAGAGAGGCUUCACCAGGAAUUAAAUCAGCUGGCACCUUGAUUCGGGACUUCCCAGCCUCUCAAACUGUGAGAAAGUAGAUUUCUGCUGUUUUCGCCAUCCAGUCUAUGGUAUUUUGUUUUGGCACCUUGAGCAGACGAAGACAAUUGCCAACAUAUUUAUGAAAAAAUUCUUGGUACUACAUAUUGCGUCAUUCUUCCCAAAUCAAUCACUACUUUUCCUCAUAAUUCUACCUGUACAUGUUUUCUUCAAGAUUUAUAACAAAUUAUACUUAGCUGAAUUUCUAGACAGAAAUAGAAACAAAUCCCCCAAAACUAGAUGGGUAGCUUUAGAGAUCCAAUAAUUCUGUGUCAUGUAGUUGUAACACUUCAAAUAUAUAUAUUUUGAUAUGUCUUUUUUGAAUUAACUUAUUGCUUAAUUGUUUGGUCUUCAGUCACCUUGACUAAAUUUGCCUGAUGUUUCUCUGUAAAUAAUCUCAAGGCUAGGUGACCUAGGUCCUGUUUGGGCCAAUUAUUUUUAUUUUUAUCUCUGAGAAGCUUGCCUCAAAGAGAACUUUUGGUUAGGAGCCAACAGUCCAUUUCUUUCACAUACAUCCUGUUAAACUAUAAGACAUGAGGAUCGUAUUGAAUAAAUAUAAAUUAGUAGAAGGAAGAUAAAGCAAUUUGCUUGUCUGCUGCAGAUAGUAGUUUUAAAUAAAUUUUUACCCAAUAAUAAACCGAACAUGAGUAAUUCUUGACGAUCAAAAGAGAAGGACAAGUCCUUAUAAUUGGAGUGGAACUGGACUAGAACUAGGCUAUUGUCUCAAGUGGGACGAAGACUCUAGAAUAGAUCAGUGAGCUUUGUACCUAAGGCAAUUUCAUGUUAUGCUCUAUUGCUCUCCACCAGAUGGAUUUCUUUCUUUCUUCCCCCACACCCCAGUAAUCUUUUCCAUCUCAUCUAUUCCCUUUUCUUUUUCUCUUCCUUACAGUUUUUAUAUCUGUGAACCUAGAUUAAUCAGUAGAUUUAAAGAAGUAGUGGGAUUUAAAGAAACUGCUGAUCCUUGAUCCUUUUUAAAAAUCUGUCAACACCUCCCAUCUUUUCCUUGUAUGCUGCCUUCCUGUUCCUGUUCCACCUUUCCAUGUUGUCCUUCACUUCAUGGCCAGGCUUUAGCCCUGCCAGUAGUGGCCAGAGACAUGAAUUAACUCUGUUUGAGUCACUUAGGAAUAAAAAGAUUAUUACUGACCUCAAUUCUAGAAUAAAAA